GGGUGUAUAGCUCAAGUGGUAGAGCAUAUGCUUAGCAUGCACUAGGUCCUGGGUUCAAUCCCUAGUACCUCCA
rnacentral:tRNA from 1 species